CUGAUAAACUGGAGGCAUUUAUGUUGAUGGCCACCGAGAAAGAAAUUCUCAUGGCCUUGGACUCUGACUCUGUGAUAGACAGACUUGCAGAGAAGAGUGAGCUGCUUAAAAAGCUGCUCCAUUGAUAAGGCGAGGAAUAUUUAAUAUUAUCACACAUCAAACAUUAUGGAUGUAGUAAUUCAUUAUUUUUAAUUUUAAUAUUGCUUUUCAGAAGUUUUAUUGUGCUUAUGUGUUGAUCCUUAAUGGUGUGAUUAUGUACACUAAAUUAUCAAUUAUUUUCCAUUACAGGUUGUUCUGAUAUAUUUGAGGAGUCGUUCACCCUCUGUUCUAUAUGUGGACUCAUUUGGGACCACCUUUAGAAUUUGGUUGACCACUUGAAAUGUGAGAGUUUGAGGAGUUGUUCCCCCUCUGUCCAUGUUCGAGGACUUGCUCUCUCUCUCUGCCUUCAUUGCACCAAAGUUUGGCUGUUGAGUCUCCUCUAGUAUGGUUGACCACUUGACUUGUGAGAGUUUGAGGAGUUGUUCCCCCUCUGUCCAUUUUCAAGGACUUGCUCUCUUACUGCUUCCACUUCACCACUUUUUGGCUACUGAGACGUCUUUGAUUUGUUGAGUUCAUUCUUUCAUUCAUCAUCUACCGCUUAUCCUGUACAGAGAGCCAAUCACUCUGUCCCCUUUUGAAGACCUGCUUUGUCUCCUCCAUCAUUCAUUGGGCCACUUUUGGGUUCCUGAUCUUAUUUCAUGUGAAGUUCUUCUAUGAUUCUUGAGAGAGAGAGA